rnacentral:rRNA from 1 species
GAUGAACGCUGGCGGCGUGCCUAAUACAUGCAAGUCGAGCGAACAGACGAGGAGCUUGCUCCUCUGACGUUAGCGGCGGACGGGUGAGUAACACGUGGAUAACCUACCUAUAAGACUGGGAUAACUUCGGGAAACCGGAGCUAAUACCGGAUAAUAUAUUGAACCGCAUGGUUCAAUAGUGAAAGACGGUUUUGCUGUCACUUAUAGAUGGAUCCGCGCCGCAUUAGCUAGUUGGUAAGGUAACGGCUUACCAAGGCAACGAUGCGUAGCCGACCUGAGAGGGUGAUCGGCCACACUGGAACUGAGACACGGUCCAGAGUCCUACGGGAGGCAGCAGUAGGGAAUCUGCCGCAAUGGGCGAAAGCCUGACGGAGCAACGCCGCGUGAGUGAUGAAGGUCUUCGGAUCGUAAAACUCUGUUAUGAGGGAAGAACAAAUGUGUAAGUAACUAUGCACGUCUUGACGGUACCUAAUCAGAAAGCCACGGCUAACUACGUG